rnacentral:rRNA from 1 species
AUACGGAGGGGGUUAGCGUUGUUCGGAAUUACUGGGCGUAAAGCGCACGUAGGCGGAUUAAAAAGUUAGAGGUGAAAUCCCAGGGCUCAACCCUGGAACUGCCUUUAAAACUAGUAGUCUAGAGUUCGAGAGGGGUGAGUGGAAUUCCAAGUGUAGAGGUGAAAUUCGUAGAUAUUUGGAGGAACACCAGUGGCGAAGGCGGCUCACUGGCUCGAUACUGACGCUGAGGUGCGAAAGCGUGGGGAGCAAACAGGAUUAGAAACCCCGGUAGUCC